rnacentral:rRNA from 1 species
AGAGUUUGAUCCUGGCUCAGGACGAACGCUGGCGGCACGCUUAACACAUGCAAGUCGAACGAGAGAAGAGGAGCUUGCUUUUCUGAUCUAGUGGCGGACGGGUGAGUAACACGUGAGCAAUCUGCCUUUCAGAGGGGGAUACCGAUUGGAAACGAUCGUUAAUACCGCAUAACAUAAUUGAACCGCAUGAUUUGAUUAUCAAAGAUUUAUCGCUGAAAGAUGAGCUCGCGUCUGAUUAGCUAGUUGGUAAGGUAACGGCUUACCAAGGCGACGAUCAGUAGCCGGACUGAGAGGUUGAUCGGCCACAUUGGGACUGAGACACGGCCCAGACUCCUACGGGAGGCAGCAGUGGGGAAUAUUGCACAAUGGAGGAAACUCUGAUGCAGCGAUGCCGCGUGAGGGAAGAAGGUUUUAGGAUUGUAAACCUCUGUCUUCAGGGACGAAAAAAGACGGUACCUGAGGAGGAAGCUCCGGCUAACUACGUGCCAGCAGCCGCGGUAAUACGUAGGGAGCGAGCGUUGUCCGGAAUUACUGGGUGUAAAGGGAGCGUAGGCGGGAUCGCAAGUCAGAUGUGAAAACUAUGGGCUUAACCCAUAAACUGCAUUUGAAACUGUGGUUCUUGAGUGAAGUAGAGGUAAGCGGAAUUCCUAGUGUAGCGGUGAAAUGCGUAGAUAUUAGGAGGAACAUCAGUGGCGAAGGCGGCUUACUGGGCUUUAACUGACGCUGAGGCUCGAAAGCGUGGGGAGCAAACAGGAUUAGAUACCCUGGUAGUCCAUGCCGUAAACGAUGAUUACUAGGUGUGGGGGGACUGACCCCUUCCGUGCCGCAGCAAACGCAAUAAGUAAUCCACCUGGGGAGUACGACCGCAAGGUUGAAACUCAAAGGAAUUGACGGGGGCCCGCACAAGCAGUGGAGUAUGUGGAUUAAUUCGAAGCAACGCGAAGAGCCUUACCAGGUCUUGACAUCGUAUGCAUAGCUCAGAGAUGAGUGAAAUCUCUUCGGAGACAUAUAGACAGGUGGUGCAUGGUUGUCGUCAGCUCGUGUCGUGAGAUGUUGGGUUAAGUCCCGCAACGAGCGCAACCCUUACUGUUAGUUGCUACGCAAGAGCACUCUAGCAGGACUGCCGUUGACAAAACGGAGGAAGGUGGGGAUGACGUCAAAUCAUCAUGCCCCUUAUGACCUGGGCCUCACACGUACUACAAUGGCUGUCAACAGAGGGAAGCAAAGCCGCGAGGUGGAGCGAACCCCUAAAAGCAGUCUUAGUUCGGAUUGUAGGCUGCAACCCGCCUACAUGAAGUCGGAAUUGCUAGUAAUCGCAGAUCAGCAUGCUGCGGUGAAUACGUUCCCGGGCCUUGUACACACCGCCCGUCACGCCAUGGGAGUCGGUAACACCCGAAGCCUGUAGUCUAACCGCAAGGAGGACGCAGUCGAAGGUGGGAUUGAUGACUGGGGUGAAGUCGUAACAAGGUA